rnacentral:misc_RNA from 1 species
AAGUCGUAACAAGGUUUCCGUAGGUGAACCUGCGGAAGGAUCAUUAUCGAUUCUGAAGGAUGUGCUGGCAAAGCCCUUUGCAUGUGCACUCCGAAAUCUUUAUCAACCCCUGUGCACUUUAUUGUAGAUGGAAACGGAGUGAUCUGUAUCUGUCUAUGUUUAUUCAUACACACCGAAGAUUUAUACAAGAAUGUGUUUUACUUGAUGUAAAAAUCAAGCUAAUCUAAUACAACUUUCAACAACGGAUCUCUUGGUUCUC